rnacentral:rRNA from 1 species
AUUGAACGCUGGCGGCGUGCCUAACACAUGCAAGUCGAGCGGUAACAGGUGUAGCAAUACAUGCUGACGAGCGGCGGACGGGUGAGUAACGCUUGGGAAUCUGCCUGUUAGUGGGGGACAACCCGGGGAAACUCGGGCUAAUACCGCAUACGCACUACGGUGGAAAGCCGGGGACCGCAAGGCCUGGCGCUAACAGAUGAGCCCAAGUCGGAUUAGCUAGUUGGUAGGGUAACGGCCACCAAGGCGACGAUCCGUAACUGGUCUGAGAGGACGACCAGUCACACCGGAACUGAGACACGGUCCGGACUCCUACGGGAGGCAGCAGUGGGGAAUAUUGGACAAUGGGCGAAAGCCUGAUCCAGCGACGCCGCGUGGGUGAAGAAGGCCUGCGGGUUGUAAAGCCCUUUCGGUGGGGAAGAAAAGCCUCGAGUUAAUACCUCGGGGUCUUGACGUAACCCCAUAGAAGAAGCACCGGCUAACUCUGUGCCAGCAGCCGCCGCAGU